AAAAGGGGGCAACGGGGGUACGUGGAAACCCUUCCCGGAAGUCGGAAACGAUUAAUACGGUACGCCUCGGGGAAGAUUUCGGGAAGGAUGGCCCGCGUGGAUAAGCAUGUGGUGGGGUAAAGGCUACCAGGCGCCGAUCCAUAGCUGUCUGAGAGGAUAUCAGCCACAUUGGGACUAGACAGGGCCCAAACUCCAAGGGAGGCAGCAGUGGGGAAUAUGGGACAAUGGGCGCAAGCCUGAUCCAGCCAUGCCGCGUGAGUGAUGAAGGCCUUAGGGUUGUAAAGCUCUUUCACCGAAGAAAAAAAUGACGGUAGUCGGAGAAGAAGCCCCGGCUAACUUCGUGCCAGCAGCCGCGGUAAUACGAAGGGGGCUAGCGUUGUUCGGAAUUACUGGGCGUAAAGCGCACGUAGGCGGAUAUUUAAGUCAGGGGUGAAAUCCCGCAGCUCAACUGCGGAACUGCCUUUGAUACUGGGUAUCUUGAGUAUGGAAGAGGUAAGUGGAAUUCCGAGUGUAGAGGUGAAAUUCGUAGAUAUUCGGAGGAACACCAGUGGCGAAGGCGGCUUACGGUCCAUUACGACGCGAGGUGGAAAGCGGGAGUAUAGCGUGUUAGGC
rnacentral:rRNA from 1 species